rnacentral:rRNA from 1 species
ACUAAAGCUAGCCCAAACAACAAACAACUCAACUACCAAACCAAAAUUAAACAAAACAUUUAGUCACUCACUAAAGUAUAGGAGAUAGAAAUUUUUUCAACUGGAGCCAUAGAGACAGUACCGCAAGGGAAAGAUGAAAGAAAAUUUAAAGUAAAAAACAGCAAAGAUCACUCCUUUUACCUUUUGCAUAAUGAGUUAGCUAGAACAACUUAACAAAGAGAACUUAAGCUAAGCCCCCCGAAACCAGACGAGCUACCUACGAACAAUCCUUGGGAUGAACUCAUCUAUGUUGCAAAAUAGUGAGAAGAUUUAUAGGUAGAGGUGAAAAGCCAAACGAGCCUGGUGAUAGCUGGUUGCCCAGAACAGAAUUUUAGUUCAACUUUAAAUUUACCUAAAAACCCAAAAAAUUCAAAUGUAAAUUUAAAAUAUAAUCUAAAAAGGUACAGCUUUUUAGACAAAGGAUACAACCUUACUUAGAGAGUAAACAUAGCCAUAAACCAUAGUAGGCCUAAAAGCAGCCACCAAUUAAGAAAGCGUUAAAGCUCAACAACCAAAUAAUUAUAAUACCAAAAACCUCUAGACAACUCCUAAUAUGAUACUGGGCUAAUCUAUUAAAUUAUAGAAGAAAUAAUGCUAAUAUGAGUAACAAGAAUUAUUUUCUCCUUGCAUAAACUUAUAACCGAAACGGAUGCCCGCUGAUAAUUAACAACAAGAUAAAAAUAAUCAACCAAUAAACAACCUAUUAAUCCAAUUGUUAAACCAACACAGGAAUGCAACCAAGGAAAGAUUAAAAGAAGUAAAAGGAACUCGGCAAACACAAACCCCGCCUGUUUACCAAAAACAUCACCUCCAGCAUUACCAGUAUUGGAGGCACUGCCUGCCCAGUGACAUAAGUUAAACGGCCGCGGUAUUCUGACCGUGCAAAGGUAGCAUAAUCAUUUGUUCUAUAAAUGAGGACUUGUAUGAAUGGCCACACGAGGGUUUUACUGUCUCUUACUUCUAAUCAGUGAAAUUGACCUUCCCGUGAAGAGGCGGGAAUAACACAAUAAGACGAGAAGACCCUAUGGAGCUUCAAUUAACUUACCCAAUCAGAACUUAUUUAAACCAACCAAAACGGGACAAAACAACUCUGCAUAUGGGUCAGUAAUUUAGGUUGGGGUGACCUCGGAGAACAAGACAACCUCCGAGUGAUAUAAAUCUAGACAUACUAGUCGAAAUAAAUUAUCAUCAAUUGAUCCAAAAAAUCUUUGAUCAACGGAACAAGUUACCCUAGGGAUAACAGCGCAAUCCUGUUAGAGAGUUCAUAUCGACAACAGGGUUUACGACCUCGAUGUUGGAUCAGGACAUCCUAAUGGUGCAGCAGCUAUUAAGGGUUCGUUUGUUCAACGAUUAAAGUCCUACGUGAUCUGAGUUCAGACCGGAGUAAUCCAGGUCGGUUUCUAUCUAUUAGCUUAGCCUCUCCCAGUACGAAAGGACAAGAGAAGCGAGGCCUACUUAAACAUAAGCGCCUUAAGACCUAUAAAUGAUAUAAUCUCAAUUUAGCUAGUCUAACUACAUCAUCAAGCCCAAGAACAGGGCUU